AUGCAGUCAGUAAGUGCUGAAGACUCUGUACUGACUCUCCCAUGCUGGCUGUAGUGAAACAAGCUGCCAUAUGAAGAGAUCCACAUGGUAAGAAAACCAACAGCCAGCAAGUUGCCAAGGAUUUCACCUGACAGCUUACAAAGAAAGAUGUGAAUCCUGCUCAAAGCCACAUGAACUUCCAAGUAGAUCCUUCCUCAAGUAGAGCCUUAGAUGAGACUCCAGUUCUGGUCAGUGCCUUGAAUGCAGACUUGGGAGAGACACUGAAGCAGAGGACUGAACUAAGCCGUGCUGGGAUUCCUGAUCCACAGAAAUUGAGAGAUAAUAAAUGUGUGUGGCUUAAAGUUGAUAAGUCUUUGGUUAUUUGUUACUAAGUAAUAGAUAAUACAUACAACUUGCAUUUACUUGGAG
rnacentral:lncRNA from 10 species